rnacentral:rRNA from 1 species
AAUAUGGUACAAUGGGCUAAAGCCUGAUCCAGCCAUGCCGCGUGUGUGAUGAAGGUCUUCGGAACGUAAAGCACUUUAGGUUGGGAGGAAUGGCAUACAGUUAAUACCUUGCUGUUUUGACGUUACCGACAGAAUAAUCACCGGCUAACUUCGUUCCAGCAGCCGCGGUAAUUCGAAGGGUGCAAGCGUUAAUCGGAAUUACUGGGGCUAAAGCGCGCGUAGGUGGUUUGUUAAGUUGAAAGUGAAAGCCCCGGGCUCAACUUGAGAACUGCUUUCAAAACUGGCAAGCUAGAGUAUGGCAGAGGGUGGUGGAAUUUCCUGUGUAGCGGUGAAAUGCGUAGAUAUAGGAAGGAACACCAGUGGCGAAGGCGACUACCUGGUCUAAUACUGACACUGAGGUGCGAAAGCGUGGGGAGCAAACA